UAAACAUUGAUAUAUUAUUACAUUUACAAUCCGCCCGGGUACUACAAGCACUAGCUUAAAACCCAAAGGACUUGGCGGUGCUUAAGAUCCCCCUAGAGGAGCCUGUUCUAGAACCGAUAAUCCACGUUUAACCUCACCCUCCCUUGUUUUUUCCGCCUAUAUACCGCCGUCGUCAGCUUACCCCAUGAGGGUCCAACAGUGAGCAAAAAUGGCAUAGCCCAAAACGUCAGGUCGAGGUGUAGCGUAUGAGAGGGGAAGAAAUGGGCUACAUUCUCUAAAAAUAGAAGCAUACGGAUAAUAUAUUGAAACAUAUAUUUUAAGGAGGAUUUAGCAGUAAGUAGAAAUUAGAAUGUUCCACUGAAUCCGGCCCUAAAGCGCGC
rnacentral:rRNA from 1 species